GUUUCCAUGAAAUUUUCAACUGCUCCCCCCGCCCCUCCAUUCAUAUAUUUCCGGUGUCCGUCAGGAGACGUCCACGCAUCGAGAGGACUUCAUUAGCCACCAGCUGGAUGGGGAAUGAAAAACCGGAAUGCCUCCUCCUCGGCCAGAAAAAAGGAACCAUGUGCAUGACUCUACUACUUUGGUCAAUGGGGCUCCCAGCCUGCAGGCAUCUUGACUCAGAAUCAUGCAGCCUGGCUUUCACCUGCUCCCAACUGUCUGCCACAGACCAGGCCACCGUCCUGCUGCAUCCGGAAGUCUCCAUCCUCAAUGUCAGGACGUCACGGAAGCCCUUCCUGUCCUGUGCUCAACUUGUCUCUAGUCUCUUCCCUCUGUCCAUCUCGAGCACACCCCUCCCCUGCAUCAGACCUCCGGGGGCUCCUCACUGUCCCUCAGGGCCCACCCCAGCUGAACCCCACUGCCAUUCCAUGGAUCAUUCUACUUCAUUCAAACCAGACU